GAAAGAAGGAAGCAUGGUUGUGUGCACAGAAAUUGUUUUGGAUCUCUAGGCCUACCCUCUCUGAUGCCUUUCGGCUUUGAUUUGAGGGCAUGGUUCUGCAGCAAAACA